rnacentral:rRNA from 1 species
UACGAAGGGGGCUAGCGUUGUUCGGAUUUACUGGGCGUAAAGCGCACGUAGGCGGAUCGUUAAGUCGGGGGUGAAAUCCUGGAGCUCAACUCCAGAACUGCCUUCGAUACUGGCGAUCUUGAGUCCGAAAGAGGUGAGUGGAACUCCUAGUGUAGAGGUGGAAUUCGUAGAUAUUAGGAAGAACACCAGUGGCGAAGGCGGCUCACUGGUCCGGUACUGACGCUGAGGUGCGAAAGCGUGGGGAGCAAACAGG